rnacentral:rRNA from 1 species
GAUGAACGCUGGCGGCGUGCCUAAUACAUGCAAGUCGAGCGAACGGACGAGAAGCUUGCUUCCCUGAUGUUAGCGGCGGACGGGUGAGUAACACGUGGAUAACCUACCUAUAAGACUGGGAUAACUUCGGGAAACCGUAGCUAAUACCGGAUAAUAUUUUGAACCGCAUGGUUCAAAAGUGAAAGACGGUCUUGCUGUCACUUAUAGAUGGAUCCGCGCUGCAUUAGCUAGUUGGUAAGGUAACGGCUUACCAAGGCAACGAUGCAUAGCCGACCUGAGAGGGUGAUCGGCCACACUGGAACUGAGACACGGUCCAGACUCCUACGGGAGGCAGCAGUAGGGAAUCUUCCGCAAUGGGCGAAAGCCUGACGGAGCAACGCCGCGUGAGUGAUGAAGGUCUUCGGAUCGUAAAACUCUGUUAUUAGGGAAGAACAUAUGUGUAAGUAACUGUGCACAUCUUGACGGUUCCUAAUCAGAAAGCCACGGCUAACUACGUG